rnacentral:rRNA from 1 species
UACGGGGGGGGCAAGCGUUGUUCGGAAUUACUGGGCGUAAAGGGCUCGUAGGUGGCCAACUAAGUCAGACGUGAAAUCCCUCGGCUUAACCGGGGAACUGCGUCUGAUACUGGAUGGCUUGAGUUUGGGAGAGGGACGCGGAAUUCCUGGUGUAGCGGUGAAAUGCGCAGAUAUCAGGAAGAACACCUAUGGCGAAGGCAGCUCUCUGGGACGGUACUGACGCUGAGACGCGAAAGCGUGGGGAGCGAACAGG